UAACAUCCGGAAACGGGUGCUAAUACCGCAUAGUUUUCUUGAUCGCAUGAUCGGGAAAGGAAAGACGGCCUUUGUGCUGUCGCUUAUGGAUGGACCCGCGGCGUAUUAGUUAGUUGGUGAGGUAACGGCUCACCAAGACGAUGAUACGUAGCCGACCUGAGAGGGUGAUCGGCCACAUUGGGACUGAGACACGGCCCAAACUCCUACGGGAGGCAGCAGUAGGGAAUCUCCGCAAUGGACGAAAGUCUGACGGAGCAACGCCGCGUGAGUGAAAAGAAGGUUUUCGGAUCGUAAAACUCUGUUGUCAGAGAAGAACAAGUUGGAGAGUAACUGCUCCAGCCUUGACGGUAUCUGACCAGAAAGCCACGGCUAACUACGUGCCAGCCGCCGC
rnacentral:rRNA from 1 species